GUUGGCAAUGUCAGGUUAAGAAAAUAUGUGUGUGGCCAGGCGCGGUGGCUCACACCUGUAAUCCCAGCACUUUGGGAGGCUGAGGCAGGCGAAUCACUUGAGGCCAGGAGUUCUAGACCAGCCUGGCCAACAUGGUGAAACCCCGUCUCUACUAAAAGCACAAAAAUUAGCCAAGCGUGGUGGCAGGCACCUGUAGUCCCAGCUACUUGGGAGGCUGAAGCAGGAGAAUCGCUUGAACCCAGGAGGUGGAGGUUGCAGUGAGCUGAGAUUGCACCACUGCACUCCAGCCUGGGCAACAGAGUGAGACUCUUGUCACACACACAAAAAAAAACCAAGAAGAAAAUUGUGUGUGUGUGUGUAUCCAGAGAGUUAAAUAUACCAUUUUCCCAUUUUAGGGACAAAGAAACUGAGACUCAGGUGAGGUCACCUGCCCGAGCGAUGCGGCUAGUUGGCAGCAGAGUGGGACCGGAACCCUGCUGCCAGCAAAGGAUAGUGGGGGCUGAGUGGGACUUCCUUCUGGACAACAGAGGGGAG
rnacentral:antisense_RNA from 1 species